rnacentral:rRNA from 1 species
CACGUAGGCACCAAGCGUUGUUCGGAUUUACUGGGCGUAAAGGGCGCGUAGGCGGUCGUGACAAGUCACUUGUGAAAUCUCCGGGCUUAACUCGGAACGGUCAAGUGAUACUGUCGGACUAGAGUACAGAAGGGGGCAACUGGAAUUCUCGGUGUAGCGGUGAAAUGCGUAGAUAUCGAGAGGAACACCUGCGGCGAAGGCGGGUUGCUGGGCUGAUACUGACGCUGAGGCGCGAAAGCCAGGGGAGCGAACGGG